rnacentral:ncRNA from 1 species
ACUUAGAGCUAGUUCAGAUAAGAGGAAUCUGACUAUUUAAUUAAAACAAAUAAUUGUCAUGGUCCCUGCAAAUGAUGACGAAAUGUGAUUUCUACCCACUACUUUGAAUGUUAAGGUGAAGAAAUUCCACCAAGCACGGGUAAACAACAAGAGUAAUUAUGACUCUCUUAAGGUAGCCAAAUGCCUCAUCAUAUAAUUAGUGACAUGGACAUGAAUAUGGGGAUCAUUCAUGUCCAUAUC